rnacentral:rRNA from 1 species
AGCGAACGCUGGCGGCAGGCUUAACACAUGCAAGUCGAGCGGGCCUUUCGGGGUCAGCGGCGGACGGGUGAGUAACGCGUGGGAACGUGCCUUCUGGUUCGGAAUAACCCUGGGAAACUAGGGCUAAUACCGGAUACGCCCUUAUGGGGAAAGGUUUACUGCCGGAAGAUCGGCCCGCGUCUGAUUAGCUAGUUGGUGGGGUAAUGGCCUACCAAGGCGACGAUCAGUAGCUGGUCUGAGAGGAUGAUCAGCCACACUGGGACUGAGACAAGGCCCAGACUCCUACGGGAGGCAGCAGUGGGGAAUAUUGAACAAUGGGCGCAAGCCUGAUCCAGCCAUGCCGCGUGAGUGAUGAAGGCCUUAGGGUUGUAAAGCUCUUUUAUCCGGGACGAUAAUGACGGUACCGGAGGAAUAAGCCCCGGCUAACUUCGUGCCAGCCGCCGCGGUAAAAC